CUAAAUUGAAAUGCGGCAUACUGACAAAAGUAAAUCAGGGCAUGGCAAACAAGUCCUGAAUCAGGACUUUGACACAAUAAUCAAACGGAGUGUCCUAUGUAGACGCGCUCAAGUUUCAUAACAACGGAAAUGCAAAAGUUUUGGGCAAAACAAAGCACCCAACUUUUUUAUUUCUCUUGGCAAUUAUGUGCUCAAGGAAAGAGACAGGACGUGGAAUGAGAGAGAGAUAGGGAUAGAGCUGGAGCCCAGUCAAAUAAUGAUAAUGAAGCACACGAGGCUCGGCCAAAAGGAUUUUUCAAGAAGAAAAGUGCACAAAAAGUUGAAAAUAAAUCGUAACACGCUUUUCUGAACAUUUUUUUCUCAUUUUUUUUUUUUUUGCGACU